CAAUAGCGUAUAUUUAAGUUGUUGCAGUUAAAAAGCUCGUAGUUGGAUUUCGGUUAAGAGCGACCGGUCCGCCGUUUGGUGUGCACUGGUUGGUUUUAACUUCCUGUAGAGGACGUGCUCUGGGUUUAACGACCUGGACUCGGAGUCUACGUGGUUACUUUGAAAAAAUUAGAGUGUUCAGAGCGGGCUUACGCUUGAAUAUUUCAGCAUGGAAUAACACUAUAGGACUCCUGUCCUAUUUCGUUGGUCUCGGGACGGGAGUAAUGAUCAAGAGGAACAGUUGGGGGCAUUCGUAUUUCAUUGUCAGAGGUGAAAUUCUUGGAUUUAUGAAAGACGAACUUCUGCGAAAGCAUUUGCCAAGGAUGUUUNCAUUAA
rnacentral:rRNA from 1 species